UGUUGCAGUCAUGGUCUGUGUUGAUGUCCAUGGCUCCUGAUGCCACUGAAGGCCGAGAGGAUAGAGCUGUACAGAGUUUUUACUGGCUUCAACACUGGGGUGAACUGGUCCUGUCCCUCACUGGCUGAAACACUCAGGAGAAAGAGUCCUACAUCUUACCUGGGCACCACAAUAGAGCUGACCCUGUUCACUGGGCAUCGGACAGUUACCAGAUCCUCACACUGAAUAUGUAAGAAAAACUCCAUCUGAUUCCAGUAGAAGGAGAAGAAAAGGAGCCAUUAUCAAAUAGUCAAGGCACUCUGUUCUUAACAAAGCCUGUCCUCUGAAGAAACUA